UACGUAGGGUGCGAGCGUUGUCCGGAAUUAUUGGGCGUAAAGAGCUUGUAGGUGGCUCGUUGCGUCGGGAGUGAAAACCUGCGGCUUAACCGCAGGCCUGCUUCCGAUACGGGCGAGCUAGAGUUCGGCAGGGGAGACUGGAAUUCCUGGUGUAGCGGUGGAAUGCGCAGAUAUCAGGAGGAACACCGGUGGCGAAGGCGGGUCUCUGGGCCGAUAUUGACGCUGAGGAGCGAAAGCGUGGGGAGCGAACAGG
rnacentral:rRNA from 1 species